CCUACGGGGGUCUGCAGUGAGGAAUAUUGGUCAAUGGACGAGAGUCUGAACCAGCCAAGUAGCGUGAAGGAUGACUGCCCUAUGGGUUGUAAACUUCUUUUAUAUGGGAAUAAAAUGUUCCACGUGUGGGAUUUUGUAUGUACCAUAUGAAUAAGGAUCGGCUAACUCCGUGCCAGCAGCCGCGGUAAUACGGAGGAUCCGAGCGUUAUCCGGAUUUAUUGGGUUUAAAGGGAGCGUAGGUGGAUUGUUAAGUCAGUUGUGAAAGUUUGCGGCUCAACCGUAAAAUUGCAGUUGAAACUGGCAGUCUUGAGUACAGUAGAGGUGGGCGGAAUUCGUGGUGUAGCGGUGAAAUGCUUAGAUAUCACGAAGAACUCCGAUUGCGAAGGCAGUUCACUGGACUGCAACUGACACUGAGGCUCGAAAGUGUGGGUAUCAAACAGGAUUAGAUACCCUAGUAGUC
rnacentral:rRNA from 1 species